AAUGCUCUUCUCCACGACAAGACACACAAGUUCUUCAGCACUACUAUUUCAGCUCUGCAAAUUAAAUUUACAACACUCAUUAUUAUCUCUAUAAAUAAUUCGCAAAAUUUUAAAACAAUUCAGGUAACCAAUUGCACCAUCCAUUUCCCAACCAAUUACAUUUCCUCUUCAAUAGCAUGCACAAUACUUACGUUGUGGCUGUUAAGACUUCACAGUUGUAGGGUUCUUUUUGUUUUGUGAAAUUGGGAAUUUCGGGAUCGGGUUUGGUCGUUUUGUUUGGUAUCUAGGGAAUGCUCAUCCAUUGCUGUUGUAGAAAUAUCAACAAACAAAAUUAUUCGCAAUUAAUUCAACUUACACGUAAUAACAUUAUAAACUUAAGACAAAAUCAACAUUUCCUGCAACCAUACAAGAUGCUCAGACAUUAUUGAUUUUCGAUUUAAUUUUACAACAUACAACAAUUGAAAAAUAUGCCACCAUUUACCUAGCCGAUGACGAAGAGAUUUUGAUUACAAUUGUUCCAUCCGGUUUCUUCUGCCUACACAAUAUUUGCUCGGAUAUUUGGCAGAAACAGUCAUGUGUUGGCCUUCCCUUGAAAAAUUUUAUGGUGUUCUCCUUACUU
rnacentral:lncRNA from 1 species